rnacentral:tRNA from 1 species
AGGGCAGUAGUUUUAAUUGGCAAAACGUUGCGCUCCAAACGCAAAAUUGGGAGUUCGAGUCUCUCCUGCCCUGCCA